rnacentral:rRNA from 1 species
CAAUAGCGUAUAUUAAAGUUGUUGCAGUUAAAAAGCUCGUAGUUGGAUUUGUGGCGUACGGUGUGUUCCGGGCACUUGUUGUCUGAGUAACCUGCUGUUGCCAUCCUUGGGUGGAACCUGUGUGGCAUUAGGUUGUCGUGCAGGGGAUGCCCAUCAUUUACUGUGAAAAAAUUAGAGGGUUCAAAGCAGGCUUAUGCCGUUGAAUAUAUUAGCAUGGAAUAAUGAGAUAGGACUUUUUUGCUAUUUUGUUGGUUUGCGCAAAGAGGUAAUGAUUAAUAGGGACAGUUGGGGGUAUUCGUAUUCCAUUGUCAGAGGUGAAAUUCUUGGAUUUUUGGAAGACGAACUACUGCGAAAGCAUUUACCAAGGAUGUUUUCAUUAA